UACGUAGGGCGCAAGCGUUAUCCGGAAUUAUUGGGCGUAAAGAGCGCGCAGGCGGUUUUACAAGUCAGAUGUGAAAUAUCCGGGCUUAACCCGGAGGGGUCAUUUGAAACUGUAAGACUAGAGUACAGCAGAGGAUAGCGGAAUUCCCGGUGUAGUGGUGAAAUGCGUAGAUAUCGGGAGGAACACCAGUGGCGAAGGCGGCUAUCUGGGCUGAAACUGACGCUGAGGCGCGAAGGCUAGGGGAGCAAACAGG
rnacentral:rRNA from 1 species